rnacentral:rRNA from 1 species
CAGCCGCCGCGGGAAUACGGAGGGUGCAAGCGUUAAUCGGAAUUACUGGGCGUAAAGCGCACGCAGGCGGUUUGUUAAGUCAGAUGUGAAAUCCCCGAGCUUAACUUGGGAACUGCAUUUGAAACUGGCAAGCCAGAGUCUUGUAGAGGGGGGUAGAAUUCCAGGUGUAGCGGUGAAAUGCGUAGAGAUCUGGAGGAAUACCGGUGGCGAAGGCGGCCCCCUGGACAAAGACUGACGCUCAGGUGCGAAAGCGUGGGGAGCAAACAGGAUUAGAUACCCCGGUAGUCCCUGUCUCUUAUAC